ensembl:lincRNA
AUGGCCUAUUCUCGAAGGGAAAUGCAAACUGAAAAGGGGCAGCGCUCAGAAUGUGUGCAAACUUUAAAUGGUGAACCUGAAGCUGUCGAUGUAAAAGAUCUACACGUCGUGAAGAUUGAACCUCAAGAUAUGGUAACCAGAAAUUCAACAGAGGACCGCAAUGCAGAAGAUAAUUUGACGAGCAGAAUGGCCAAAGAUAACUAUUUGAAGACCAUCGCUGAUACAAUGGCAGCUUCAUCCACUACCGAAGACAUGAACAAUCGUGGAAUUAUUUGCCACAACCCUGUACUUCAUGAGCAGGAAUCAGCCAAAGAAGCAUCAGCAAGCCAUAAAACGCCGAAACAAGAUGUCAUCCAAAAAGAAAUUGUGGAAAUCCAGCAUAUGCUCAUGAGAUUUCAUCAAAUGAAAAAUUCUGGAAUCUUGACUCCUGGAGAAAUCAACAAUAUGAUGUCCUUGAGGAACAGGUUGAAAAUGCUGAAACAGAAACAUUCUCGUCUAAAGGCAGAAGCUGAACGGCAGAGAAGGCGACGGCAUGAACUUAAGAAUAAACUGUUCAUGCUUGCCAAUGAUCAUCACAGCCUACAGAAUUUUGCGCGAGGGAAGCACGGGAGACCAAGUUUGGAAACGGAUAAACCGGAACUAUUAUGCGUUAUCAAAGAUCUCGCUGUCGGUGCUGGUGCGGUCGAUGACCGUCCACAUUCGGGGUAUUUCCAGUCUUCGAAAACUCUCAAUCAACUGACUGAAGAAUUGCAUCAACAAGGAUUUCACAUUAGUCGUGCGGCCACAUAUUUGCGUCUGACACCAAGACAGAGCGAUACGGAACAAGGAAAGAGACAUGUUUCUACAGUUCCUGUGAAAUUGAUGCGAGCUCCAAAGACUCGCCAUGAAUCUCACGUAGACACGGAUUUCACCUUGGCAACAAUAUCUUAUGUUAAGGAUUUGUGUUCAUGGUUUGGACCAAAGACCUGUUCUUUUCUAAGUAUGGAUCAUAAAGCCAGAGUUCCCAUUGGACUCACCAGUGUACCUAAUGAAGAUGUUGACGGGGUGCAGAUGGAAGAUCAUGUUGAGCAUUUCGAACAAGAUUCCGCCGCUGUUGAAACCCUCAACCUGAUGCUUUCGGUCUAUGCUUCUUGCGCAAUUUCGAACAACAUGUUGCAGUCGGCUGUCACCUACAGUGGUCCAACCUACAUCACUAUUAGGGAUGAAAAGCAUGACCGAAGCACCAUAGGUACCCAUGCCCGAGAUUUUGAACAUUUACUGGAGCUCGAAAGCUUCAAAGCGGUGAUGUGUUACGAGACCGGUGAGCUAAAGCCAAUUCUUGUUUGCAACAUUGACAGUGGGCCUGAUGAAAACCCCAGGUUACCGAAGCCAUUGCAAGUCGCCUGCAAUCGAUUCAGGGCACACAAUUUGGAUGUAUAUUUAGCUUUAACGCAAGCUCCGGGAUUUUCAAUGUACAAUCACUUGGAGCGCCGGUUAGCAAUACUCUGUCGAGAUCUAUCGGAACGUGCACUUCCAAGUGAUUCCUUUGGGAGUCACCAUCACAGCUCGGGAGACACAAAUGACUCUGAAUUGGAAGUUCAGUACAUCAAGAAAGCUGGAGAAGCGCUUGCAGAAAGGUGGUCGGGCUCUUUGCUGGACUCGUACAAUGUCACCGCCGAGUACUUGGAGGCUGGGGAUAAGUCGACUGGUGAGCUCGACAGUGUCUCUCAAAAAUGGGUGGCAAAUCACGUGCGCCAAAGCCAGUACCUUCUGCAAAUUAUAAAAUGUGAUGAUGGAACAUGCUGCAUGGAAUGGCGUACUAACUGGAACGAGAUGGUUCCAACAAGGUUCUUACCAGCACCUUUCCCUUUGCAACGGUCACAAAAUGGUCUCACAGACGUACUGACGAAAAUGAAGGUGGAAGUUGAUGACGCAGAUGGUGGAGAUACGAGAGUGUUUAGGUAGGCCAUCAGCCUGAAGUUUAGGCGCGAAAGCAGCUUCACUCCCGUCUUAGAGGGAGGGGGAGACCAUCCGGGAGGCAAGUGGGAGAUGAGUGUCCUCCACCCAUCAAAUGGCCAUCGGGUCAAUGGUGAGUGAGAGGAGAGGGGAGGGGAAGGGAGUUGUGUUGUGGGGCUGGGUUUCGGUGGCGAGCACGACCGCUAGGGUGAGCAGUAGAGUCGGCUCCACCGAACACACCGGAAUUUAAGUCGUAACCUUCGGAUAAGUCCGAAGGUACGAGUCCCUUACAGGACCAUGAAUCGCCAAUAAUUCGACCGCGUGGGGUAGGGUUAAUUGCAUAAUUUUAAUAUACCUAAAUACCCACGCAGUCGAACUACCAGGGAACCACACCCUCGGCAGGUCUCGAGCGGAACGAGCCGUUACCGUGCUCGAACCGUGUGUAACCCGAGUGUAUGGUUACCGAGGCCCGUCGGUCCAAAUGAACAAUUACGGCAACAACGGCCUUCCUAAUCCCCAAUACGCACCGUGGCAAACCAAUGGCAGAAAUGACAAAGAACGAGCUGGUACAUUCAACAAAAGGGAUAUUUAUUAACAAUAAUCGGGGAGAGGAACACGGAGCAGAGUUAUCACAAAUAUAAAAAGGUAUCAAAUAUACAAGCAAUUCCUGAAACAAUUCUACUUAAAGACAGGGCCCACGGACACACACAAAUACCCAGAAAGAGAUGGACCUCAAGGUCUUUAUUGCCCCUUCAGCUCGGAGGAAAGACGAGCUGAGGGAAGAGAAUGUGCUGGCUACCUGGCCGCGUUCGCGCGGCUCGACGUCCGCAACUUCCCGGAGCACCAGUUGCCAAAGAACGGACCAGGGCAGCUGAACCCAGAGGAGGCGAGACGAGGUGAUCUCCCGUGAUGAGAUGGUCGACCGGUUGUCGUAAUGCGCCAGACGAGACGCCUCGGAUGCGCGCGAUGCAGUCAGCCGCAGACCCAGACAGAAAACGUG